GGCAUUUUUACAGAUGUAAUCACACAGAAACAUUUACUACAGAGCUUGUUUCUCUCAGAUUAUGAGAAGACUUAAUAUAUUUUGCAGCUUUUACUGCACAUUGACUUUUCUCCCCACAUAGAUAGGACAGUUUGUGAAGAUCAGGGAGGUGGAUAAACUCAGGAUAUAUAUGAUUGAUAUGAUUUAUAUUUGUCCCAGUAUAACAGGAAGCUGUUUUCUGACAAAGUGAAGGCAGCCUGGCCUCCCUGGGGAGCCUGUUCUGCCUGUGACGGCCUGUUUCUAUGGCCAGACUGUGUCCACUCAGUCUGUACAUUGUCAGCGUUUUCCUCAGUUUUCUAUCAGUCACGGUGGUCAGGUACUCUGCCACCAUGGACUCUCUGUUUAGGCUCAAAUACUAUUCUAAUUUACUUUGUGAGUUGAUAUCAUUUUCUUUUAGUUUUGAGAUGAUUUGGUUGGUCAGAUUGUUUUUGGUGUGUGUGGGCAGAGCUUCAGCAGCAGCUGGCAGAGGGGACUCUGAUCUUUGUUCAACUGGUGCCACUGAAGGGCUUUGUACUGGGAGGACUGGGAGUCGCUAGAUUGAAGGUGUUUGUGGAUUUUAAUUAUUAAAGGGUAUUGAUCUAGUUCUGCCCUGCAGGCAUUAUUGGCUGUGUGUCUGUGGACUCUCAGUAUGUUUGUGCACAGUUCUGCAUGCAGGGCUUCCAGCGGCUGUUUGUCCCAUGUUGGGAGGUCUUGGCUGUUAGGGCCCAUGUGUGACUGAACUUGUGGAGGAUGUCCAGGCUCUGCUGUAAGCCUCUCUGGAGGGAGACAGGAGAACCAGGUCAUCAGCAAACAUCAGACAUUUGACCUGUGUCCUGCAGAGUCACACCAGCAGCUGUGGAUGUUUGCACUUGUUGUGCAAAUGUAUUUCUAUAUAUGUUAAAAAGGGUUGGGCUCAAACUGCAGCCCUGUUUCACCCCACGGUACUGUCUGAAGUAUCUGCUCCUUCUGUUUCACAUUUUAAUUGCACAUCUGUUAUUCAGAUACAUUGAUUGAAUGAGAUCAUAGGUUUUACCCCCUAUGCCACUCUCUAAUAAUCCAUAAAAGAGCCCUUCAUGCCAAAUACAACCAAAUCUACAAAACAUGAAUAAAUGUUCUUUUUAU